AAGAAUCGCCCCGUUUUUUUCGGAAGACGGGUUCUAUUCCCACAACCGUGUAUACCAUACCUUUGUUGCUUUGGCGAGCCGCCUCUCCGGAGGCGUUGGCUUCGGCUGACUGCGCUCGCCAGAGGACCCAAACUCAAGUUAUUUAUGUUGUCCGAGUAAAUAUAUAAUAUUUA
rnacentral:misc_RNA from 1 species